rnacentral:rRNA from 1 species
UACGUAGGGUGCGAGCGUUAAUCGGAAUUACUGGGCGUAAAGCGUGCGCAGGCGGUUUUGUAAGCCAGAUGUGAAAGCCCCGGGCUUAACCUGGGAAUGGCAUUUGGGACUGCAAGGCUUGAGUGCGGCAGAGGAGACUGGAAUUCCUGGUGUAGCAGUGAAAUGCGUAGAUAUCAGGAGGAAUACCGAUGGCGAAGGCAGGUCUCUGGGCUGACACUGACGCUCAUGCACGAAAGCGUGGGGGCAAACAGGAU